CGUUGCUACAAAACCUUUAUAAUUGGAGUCUAUUUUAGUCUCUGACGUCGGAAUUGGGAUCAGUCUCGAAGAGCUUUGUGUGUAUACCCUUUUCAAGGUUUACUAUUUGAUCUCUUCCAUCGCUGUUUUUCUCUCAAAGCCCAGCUCGAGUCCUCAGGGUAUUCAACGAUCGAUCGAAGGGUUUCGGUCGAAUUCCGAAGUGGGUUCACUCUUUCGGCGAGCUUAAAUGGAAACUGUGAAGCCUACUCCUAUUGCUGAAUUACGUCCGUACACUAAAGCAGAGAAAAGAAAGAUUAGUGUGUGUAGGAUAUGGAAAUCAAGCAUUCCUACAAGUGAUAAAAAAUAUGUGACAUUCCACUGUAUCUUAGUUGAUGCAAACAAUGCGACCAAAUGUGAAGAACAAUGCGGUUGAAGCUUAUGCGUCAAAUAUUGAUUAUGAGGUUGUUGCCUCAAAGACUCAAGCUGGUGAUUGCUAUGAAAUCAUGAAUUUUCGAACGAUCAAGGUCAGAGGGCAGUAUAAAGUUGUGCCACAUGAUACACAGCUUAUAUUCACCAAUAAAACAGUUUUGUAAAACUAUCUGCCGUCUUUCCACCAAUUCGACGACAUCGAUUUUUUCUUCAAGAUUAACAUGCUUUAUAUGCGUUUGAACAGAAAUGAUAUUCUCACAGGUAAUACUAUAACGUAUAUAUCUAUUUGUCAACAUGUGUA